rnacentral:rRNA from 1 species
AUUGAACGCUGGCGGCAUGCCUUACACAUGCAAAUCGAACGGUAACGGGCCUUCGGGUGCCGACGAGUGGCGAACGGGUGAGUAAUACAUCGGAACGUGCCCGAUCGUGGGGGAUAACGAGGCGAAAGCUUUGCUAAUACCGCAUACGAUCUACGGAUGAAAGCAGGGGACCGCAAGGCCUUGCGCGGACGGAGCGGCCGAUGGCAGAUUAGGUAGUUGGUGGGAUAAAAGCUUACCAAGCCGACGAUCUGUAGCUGGUCUGAGAGGAUGAUCAGCCACACUGGGACUGAGGCACGGCCCAGACUCCUACGGGAGGCAGCAGUGGGGAAUUUUGGACAAUGGGCGCAAGCCUGAUCCAGCCAUGCCGCGUGCAGGAUGAAGGCCUUCGGGUUGUAAACUGAUUUUGUACGGAACGAAAAGCCUUCUUUUAAUACAGGAGGGUCAUGACGGUACCGUAAGAAUAAGCACCGGCUAACUACGUG